rnacentral:lncRNA from 1 species
CUCCUUCUCACUCUCCAGAUGCUUCUGCUAUUUCAGUCUUUUUUUUUGUCUCUGUUCAACUGGACCUGUGACAUUCACAGUUUCAUAGCUUGGAGGUGGGGAUUGCAGAGCAGGGGGAUGGACUGUGCUGUCGCAUGUACGAUUUGUGCUGACAUGAUGCUGAGAUAUGAGCAGCCAUCUCACUUCAGUUCUCCCAGCCGCAGAACCUUCUUCUUUUCCAUCCCCUGCUGUCCUUACCCACCUCCUCAGCCUUAGCCUGCCAUCAUUGCUGAGCUCAGGCUCUACCUUGCAGCCUCAUCAACAUCACUACUUACAGCAUGGACAAAG